rnacentral:lncRNA from 1 species
UGAACUACAUAGUGAGACCCUGUCUGAACUUCCCCCCCAAAAAAGGCUUUUAGGAAACCAGAAAUGCUAUGAUUAUCUCUCUUGUCUUCAGUUCCCUGAUUUCUCAGAUUUCAAAGAUGAGAUUUCCAGAGAUUGUCAGACACUUCCUAUUGCCCAACAGCUCAACUAAAGUAACAAGCAAGAGAACCAAGCAUAGUACCUAACAGCUCCUGAGAAUACUCUUUCAGCCCUAUCAAGGCCCCAAUUUAGUCUGAAUAUGAUUUGUCCCUGCCAGAAUUCAUACUAAGGCUUUGUACUUGUGACUACUGUGAUUGUUAGCCUGACUGGAUCAAAAAGCCUGCCAGAUUAGUGACACACUUCCAGGUGCAUCCAAGUGGGGCAUGGUGGUCUGACCUUGGACUCUGCAUCUGUUUCCCAGCCCUUUCCUCUCCACUCUCCUAACAACCCACUUUGCUUUCCCGCCUCCAUGAGGUGAGCAGCUGUUCUCCCCAGGCCUUUUUACCAUGUUUCUGCCUUGGAGCAAGGCAUGGACUGCACUACCUGAAACCAUGAACCAAAUCAACCUCUCCUUGAAGCCUGUGGGUGUCAGGUGCUUUGUGCCAGCGGAGGAAAGCUGCCUUUGUGCUUUCCACCCUGAGCUGAUGUAGCUUGAAGCCCUCCCCAGUGGCCUUCUCAGCCCCCAGAACUGCAAGCGAAAAUAAAAUUGUUUAUAAAUCACCCAGUCUCAGAUAUUCUCUGACGGUAACAGAAAAUAGACACCCUAAGACAGCCACAAAUCCUUGUUUUUUUCUUUUUUUCAGGUACUGGGGGUUGAACCCAGGGCAUUCACACUGGGCUACUUCA